CAGAAGCAACGAUGUGUGACUUUGAGUCUAGGUCAUAAAGGAAUGUGGUUUCUACCACUAUCCUUCUCAGGAUACACACCCUGGGAACUCAGCCACCAUACUGUGGGGAAGCCCAGGCCACAUGGAGAGGCCACGUGUAUGUAUUCCAUCUGACAGCUCCAGCUGAGGUCCCAGCUGCCGGCCAUCAUUAACUGCCAGACAGCACCCAAGAGAAACUGUGACUUCAACUGUAGUAGAAAGCUUUGAAGAGAAGAGUGAUGAAGUUCCAUUUCAGAGGGUCCUGGUUUUGUCCUGCAAUAAAGCAGGAGGUGGACAUGAGGAUGAAUGACCCUUUCAAGGCCUUCUGGCAAAUUUGUCAGGUCAUUGGUAAAAUAUCUCUUCAGGAGCCUCGUGAUUAUAAGGAAAGGGUCAGGCAAUGAACACAGUCCUCCAAGUGAAUAGAGAAGUGCUUCUAUGAGUCUUGCUCUUUCCCCAGGCUGGAGUGCAAUGGUGCAAUCUCG
rnacentral:lncRNA from 1 species